ACUUAACUAUUGUUUAUUUUUGUCAGUUUUUACAGCAUCCUUCCUAACCAUCAAAACAAUUCCUAACCAUUACACCGGUUAAAUUCAGCUAGUGCAUGCUCCUAGUUAUUAUGGACAUGGUGGUAGAAAAAACUCAGCUUCUUCGAUCUCUCAAGAAAAGAAAAAAAAAAUAGAAAACAAGAAGUACGUCAUCUCUCUACAAUGCCGUAAGCAUACAGACCAACUUCC
rnacentral:lncRNA from 1 species